UAUAAAUAGUUAACUUUGAAACUGCGAAUGGCUCAUUAUAUCAGUUAUAGUUUAUUUGAUGAAGAAUACUAAUUGGAUAACCGUAGUAAUUCUAGAGCUAAUACAUGUAUAAAGUCUUGUAGACUGCAUUUAUUAGAAUGAAAACCAUAGGUUUCGGCCUAUUCGUGAGUAAUAAUAGCUAAUCAUAUCGUAUGCUUACGUAACGAUGUGUCUUUCAAGUUUCUGCCCUAUCAGCUUUCGAUGGUAGUGUAUUGGACUACCAUGGCAGUAACGGGUAACGAAGAAUUUGGGUUCGAUUUCGGAGAGGGAGCCUGAGAGAUGGCUACCUCAUCCAAGGAAGGCAGCAGGCGCGUAAAUUACCCAAUCCUGACACAGGGAGGUAGUGACAAUAAAUCACAAUGCGGAACAAUGUUUUGCAAUUGGAUUGAGAACAACGUACAAACCUUAUCGAUAAACAAUUGGAGGGCAAGUCUGGUGCCAGCAGCCGCGGUAAUUCCAGCUCCAAUAGCGUAUAUUAACGUUGUUGCAGUUAAAAA
rnacentral:rRNA from 1 species